GGAAGAUUUGUUCUUUCCUUCUUCACAAUAAAUCUUGCAACUGCUGCUGCUGCUCACUGUUUGGGUCCCUGUGGCUCUUAUGAGCUGUAACACUCUCUGCGAAGGUCUGCAGCUUCACUCCUGAAGCCAGCGAGACCACAAACCCACCGGGAGGGACGAACAACUCCAGAUGGAAGGAACGAAAACCUCCAGACGCGCCGCCUUUAAGAGCUGUAACACCGUGAAGGUCUGCAGCUUCACUCCUGAAGCCAGCGAGACCACGAACCCACUAGAAGGAAGAAACUCCGGACACGUCCGAACAUCAGAAGGAACAAACUCUGGACACAUCAUCUUUAAGAACUGUAACACUCACCGCGAGGGUCCACGGCUUCAUUCCUGAAGUCAGCAAGACCAAGAACCCACGAAUUCCGGACACAGCAUCACACUUCCUGAUUUCAAAAUCUAUUACACAGCUACAGUAAUCAAAUCAGUAUGGAUCUGGCAUAAUGACAGACCUGUAAACAUAUAGACCAAUGGAACCAAAUAGCCCAGAAAUAAAUACACACAUCUAUGGUCAACUGAUUUUUCGGCAAGAAUGCCACGAAUACACAAUGGGGAAAGAAUAGUCUCUUCAAUAAAUAAAAGUGAGAAUCUGUAACUGCUGAUGGAGAAUGCUUGUCUCAUCUCCAGCCUGUGAUGUAGUGUAAGGAUGAGGGCCCCGUGACCUGGGAAGCUUGGGAUUCUGUGGAUGACUGAAGAAGUUUUUCACGAGAGGCAUUGAAAAAUCCAUUAAUUCUUUUUUUUUUUUUUUUUUUUU
rnacentral:lncRNA from 1 species